rnacentral:rRNA from 1 species
GACGAACGCUGGCGGCGUGCUUAACACAUGCAAGUCGAACGGAAAGGCCCUGCUUUUGUGGGGUGCUCGAGUGGCGAACGGGUGAGUAACACGUGAGUAACCUGCCCUUGACUUUGGGAUAACUUCAGGAAACUGGGGCUAAUACCGGAUAGGGGCUCCUGCUGCAUGGUGGGGGUUGGAAAGUUUCGGCGGUUGGGGAUGGACUCGCGGCUUAUCAGCUCGUUGGUGGGGUAGUGGCUUACCAAGGCUUUGACGGGUAGCCGGCCUGAGAGGGUGACCGGCCACAUUGGGACUGAGAUACGGCCCAGACUCCUACGGGAGGCAGCAGUGGGGAAUAUUGCACAAUGGGCGGAAGCCUGAUGCAGCAACGCCGCGUGCGGGAUGACGGCCUUCGGGUUGUAAACCGCUUUCGCCUGUGACGAAGCGUGAGUGACGGUAAUGGGUAAAGAAGCACCGGCUAACUACGUGCCAGCAGCCGCGGUGAUACGUAGGGUGCGAGCGUUGUCCGGAUUUAUUGGGCGUAAAGGGCUCGUAGGUGGUUGAUCGCGUCGGAAGUGUAAUCUUGGGGCUUAACCCUGAGCGUGCUUUCGAUACGGGUUGACUUGAGGAAGGUAGGGGAGAAUGGAAUUCCUGGUGGAGCGGUGGAAUGCGCAGAUAUCAGGAGGAACACCAGUGGCGAAGGCGGUUCUCUGGGCCUUUCCUGACGCUGAGGAGCGAAAGCGUGGGGAGCGAACAGGCUUAGAUACCCUGGUAGUCCACGCUGUAAACGGUGGGUACUAGGUGUGGGGUCCAUUCCACGGGUUCCGUGCCGUAGCUAACGCUUUAAGUACCCCGCCUGGGGAGUACGGCCGCAAGGCUAAAACUCAAAGGAAUUGACGGGGCCCCGCACAAGCGGCGGAGCAUGCGGAUUAAUUCGAUGCAACGCGUAGAACCUUACCUGGGUUUGACAUGGAUCGGGAGUGCUCAGAGAUGGGUGUGCCUCUUUUGGGGUCGGUUCACAGGUGGUGCAUGGCUGUCGUCAGCUCGUGUCGUGAGAUGUUGGGUUAAGUCCCGCAACGAGCGCAACCCUUGUUCACUGUUGCCAGCACGUUAUGGUGGGGACUCAGUGGAGACCGCCGGGGUCAACUCGGAGGAAGGUGGGGAUGACGUCAAGUCAUCAUGCCCCUUAUGUCCAGGGCUUCACGCAUGCUACAAUGGCUGGUACAGUGAGUGGCGAGCCUGUGAGGGUGAGCGAAUCUCGGAAAGCCGGUCUCAGUUCGGAUUGGGGUCUGCAACUCGACCUCAUGAAGUCGGAGUCGCUAGUAAUCGCAGAUCAGCAACGCUGCGGUGAAUACGUUCCCGGG